rnacentral:rRNA from 1 species
AUUGAACGCUGGCGGCAUGCCUUACACAUGCAAGUCGAACGGCAGCACGGGGGCAACCCUGGUGGCGAGUGGCGAACGGGUGAGUAAUACAUCGGAACGUGCCCUGAAGUGGGGGAUAACGUAGCGAAAGUUACGCUAAUACCGCAUAUUCUGUGAGCAGGAAAGCAGGGGAUCUUCGGACCUUGUGCUUUAGGAGCGGCCGAUGUCGGAUUAGCUAGUUGGUGAGGUAAAGGCUCACCAAGGGCGACGAUCCGUAGCGGGUCUGAGAGGAUGAUCCGCCACACUGGGACUGAGACACGGCCCAGACUCCUACGGGAGGCAGCAGUGGGGAAUUUUGGACAAUGGGCGCAAGCCUGAUCCAGCCAUGCCGCGUGAGUGAAGAAGGCCUUCGGGUUGUAAACCUCUUUCAGCAGGGAAGAAGCGAAAGUGACGGUACCUGCAGAAGAAGCACCGGCUAACUACGUG